rnacentral:lncRNA from 1 species
CCUUCGAAAGAUUAUUUUUUAUAAGGUUUUGAAGUUAGGACAAGUUGGGUGAAGAAAGAAGUCAAUUUCAGUUAGGAUUUCCUCAUUAGACUAUGUGGGUCGUAGCCUUACCCAAUUAAUUAACAGAAAUCGUAAUUGCCCUAGAACUACUGUAGUGCUUCAAAUUUGAUAAUGUUUUUGACCAUUUUUCAAGACAAACCAGGUGAAGUGGUAAACAUAAAAAUUAUAGCUUUUUCUCUUAUCUUUCCAAUGGUCAAGAAUCAUCUGAUUUGAACCUCUAUAGAGAGAGUUAUGGUCGAAAUACCGAAACAUGUGCAGUGGAUGUCUACACCUUGAAAUUG